UACGUAGGGCGCAAGCGUUAUCCGGAAUUAUUGGGCGUAAAGAGCUCGUAGGCGGUUUGUCGCGUCUGCCGUGAAAGUCCGGGGCUCAACUCCGGAUCUGCGGUGGGUACGGGCAGACUAGAGUGAUGUAGGGGAGACUGGAAUUCCUGGUGUAGCGGUGAAAUGCGCAGAUAUCAGGAGGAACACCGAUGGCGAAGGCAGCACUCUGGGCUGGAACUGACGCUGAGGAGCGAAAGCGUGGGUAGCAAACAGG
rnacentral:rRNA from 1 species